ACGGGAGGCAGCAGUGGGGAAUAUUGCACAAUGGGGGAAACCCUGAUGCAGCAACGCCGCGUGAGCGAAGAAGGUCUUCGGAUCGUAAAGCUCUGUCCUUAGGGACGAAGAAGUGACGGUACCUAAGGAGGAAGCCCCGGCUAACUACGUGCCAGCAGCCGCGGUAAUACGUAGGGGGCGAGCGUUAUCCGGAAUUAUUGGGCGUAAAGAGUACGUAGGCGGUUUUGUAAGCGUAAGGUGAAUGCCUGGGGCUUAACUCCAGCGAGCCUUACGAACUGCAAGACUUGAGUGCAGGAGGGGUAGGUGGAAUUCCUAGUGUAGCGGUGAAAUGCGUAGAUAUUAGGAAGAACACCAGUGGCGAAGGCGAUCUACUGGACAGUAACUGACGCUGAGGCGCGAGAGCGUGGGGAGCAAACAGGAUUAGAUACCCUGGUA
rnacentral:rRNA from 1 species